rnacentral:lncRNA from 1 species
UUCAUCUGGUGUUCCCCUCAAUGGGGCAAAUGCGAUCCCCUUGGGACAAAAGUCCAAACCUCUGCACCCUUGCCUUUGUCCACCAGCAUCUUGGGUAAGCCUCCCACUCUUGCUGCUCAUAAUGGUCCCUUACCUACCUCUAACUUGCACUUAAAUGCUAGGCUUGUGAAGAGCUUUCCUCGGUCAUCUUCUCUCAAACCUUUUAGAAAAGGGUCAUGUUUCCAUGUUGGGGAC